UUUCGACGGCCGCCGGGGAGGCCUUGCGCCCCCGGGCCCGCGCCCGCCGAAGACCCCAACAUGAACGCUGUUCUGAAAGUAUGCAGUCUGAGUUGAUUAUCGUAAUCAGUUAAAACUUUCAACAACGGAUCUCUUGGUUCCGGCAUCGAUGAAGAACGCAGCGAAAUGCGAUAAGUAAUGUGAAUUGCAGAAUUCAGUGAAUCAUCGAGUCUUUGAACGCACAUUGCGCCCCCUGGUAUUCCGGGGGGCAUGCCUGUCCGAGCGUCAUUGCUGCCCUCAAGCACGGCUUGUGUGUUGGGCCCCCGUCCCCCUCUCCCGGGGGACGGGCCCGAAAGGCAGCGGCGGCACCGCGUCCGGUCCUCGAGCGUAUGGGGCUUUGUCACCUGCUCUGUAGGCCCGGCCGGCGCCAGCCGACACCCAACUUUAUUUUUCUAAGGUUGACCUCGGAUCAGGUAGGGAUACCCGCUGAACUUAAGCAUAUCAAUAAGCGGAGGAAAAGAAACCAACAGGGAUUGCCUCAGUAACGGCGAGUGAAGCGGCAAGAGCUCAAAUUUGAAAGCUGGCCCCUUCGGGGUCCGCGUUGUAAUUUGCAGAGGAUGCUUCGGGUGCAGCCCCCGUCUAAGUGCCCUGGAACGGGCCGUCAUAGAGGGUGAGAAUCCCGUCUGGGACGGGGUGUCUGCGUCCGUGUGAAGCUCCUUCGACGAGUCGAGUUGUUUGGGAAUGCAGCUCUAAAUGGGUGGUAAAUUUCAUCUAAAGCUAAAUACUGGCCGGAGACCGAUAGCGCACAAGUAGAGUGAUCGAAAGAUGAAAAGCACUUUGAAAAGAGAGUUAAACAGCACGUGAAAUUGUUGAAAGGGAAGCGUUUGCGACCAGACUCGCCCGCGGGGUUCAGCCGGCAUUCGUGCCGGUGUACUUCCCCGUGGGCGGGCCAGCGUCGGUUUGGGCGGCCGGUCAAAGGCCCUCGGAAUGUAUCACCUCUCGGGGUGUCUUAUAGCCGAGGGUGCAAUGCGGCCUGCCUGG
rnacentral:rRNA from 1 species